rnacentral:snRNA from 1 species
CAAUGUGAGGGUGAUCUGGCUGUGACAUCUUUCACACCAUUGAUUGCCAGGGUUGAUUCAGCUGAUCUGACUGGCUAGGCAGUGUCCCCUUCUUCCCUCAAUGCUCCAUGUGAGUCUCUCCUAAAGCUCCACCCUCAGUAAAAGACGAUGACCACCGCCAGUAGAGAAGGAUCAUUUCUCUGUCAAGGAUGUAGGAGUAGCUGUGCUCCCCUUCUGGAAUCUCCAAACAAGCUCUUAGAGUCCACAUUUAUGUCUGUGGUUGAGUGCUCCCUCCUGAAUUCCAAAGUUUAUAUCCAAGUGCUUACUAGAUGUGCAGAUGUGGAUGCCUAAGCAUUU